UCCAGUUACACCGUAGAAAACAACUAAAGU
rnacentral:piRNA from 1 species